rnacentral:tRNA from 1 species
GGCCUGGUGGUCUAGUAGUAUGAUUCCUUCUUAGGGUUUAACCCCAUUUGGAGGAGGUCCCGGGUUCAAUUCCCGGCCAGGCCC